rnacentral:rRNA from 1 species
GGGUGAGUAAUGCAUCGGAAUGUACCGUGUAAUGGGGGAUAGCUCGGCGAAAGCCGGAUUAAUACCGCAUACGCCCUGAGGGGGAAAGUGGGGGACCGUAAGGCCUCACGUUAUACGAGCAGCCGAUGUCUGAUUAGCUAGUUGGUGGGGUAAAGGCUCACCAAGGCGACGAUCAGUAGCGGGUCUGAGAGGAUGAUCCGCCACACUGGGACUGAGACACGGCCCAGACUCCUACGGGAGGCAGCAGUGGGGAAUUUUGGACAAUGGGCGCAAGCCUGAUCCAGCCAUGCCGCGUGUCUGAAGAAGGCCUUCGGGUUGUAAAGGACUUUUGUCCGGGAGCAAAUCCCAGUGGUUAACACCUACUGGGGCUGAGAGUACCGGAAGAAUAAGCACCGGCUAACUACGUGCCAGCAGCCGCGGUAAUACGUAGGGUGCAAGCGUUAAUCGGAAUUACUGGGCGUAAAGCGUGCGCAGGCGGUUGUGCAAGUCUGAUGUGAAAGCCCCGGGCUUAACCUGGGAACGGCAUUGGAGACUGCACGACUAGAGUGCGUCAGAGGGGGGUAGAAUUCCGCGUGUAGCAGUGAAAUGCGUAGAGAUGCGGAGGAAUACCGAUGGCUAA